rnacentral:rRNA from 1 species
UACGUAGGGCGCAAGCGUUGUCCGGAAUUAUUGGGCGUAAAGAGCUCGUAGGCGGUCUGUCGCGUCUGCCGUGAAAACCCGAGGCUCAACCUCGGGCCUGCAGUGGGUACGGGCAGACUAGAGUGCGGUAGGGGAGAUUGGAAUUCCUGGUGUAGCGGUGGAAUGCGCAGAUAUCAGGAGGAACACCGAUGGCGAAGGCAGAUCUCUGGGCCGUAACUGACGCUGAGGAGCGAAAGCAUGGGGAGCGAACAGG